UUUUGAAAAAUGCUUCUUAAUUAAGAAAAGAUAAAAAUCAUGCUGUGGUUUUUAUGGUUCCUUAGGGUUGCUUUACUUAUAUGAAUAAAUUAUUUGAUGGUGGAUGUAAAAGGUGGUAAGCUGAGGUAUAUUCCAGUGUAUUCAAACUUUUAGUUUUUCCAAUGCAAAAAAAAAAAAAAAAACUUUGUAUUUUCAUGUUUUGCCAAUAAGAAAGCUGAGGUAUAUUCCAGUGUUUUCAACCUUUUAGUUUUUCCAAUGCAAAAAAAAAAAAAAAAAAUUUGUGUUUUCAUGUUUUGCCAAUAAUUCAGUUAAGCAUCUCGUUGUUUUGUCAUGUGUAUUUUUUUGUUGUGUUAUGUGUGUAUUUAGAAGCAUAGUUUCUUUUGAAAAAAACAACAACAAAGAAACAUAUCUUCUUUUUAUUUUGCUUUAAGCCAUCCAAGUGAAAGCAAAAGGGAUCAAAAGUUGUAGUUCUUCGUCUUCCUAUGUGAAAAAGGGAUUGAAUUCGAAAGAGGAGCCUAGUUUGAUUGAGUAGCCCCCCC
rnacentral:lncRNA from 1 species